rnacentral:rRNA from 1 species
GACAGAGGGUGCAAACGUUGUUCGGAAUUACUGGGCGUAAAGCGCGUGUAGGCGGCCCGGAAAGUCGGAUGUGAAAGCCCUGGGCUUAACCUAGGAAGUGCAUUCGAAACUCCCGGGCUUGAGUUCUGGAGAGGAAGGCGGAAUUCUCGGUGUAGAGGUGAAAUUCGUAGAUAUCGAGAGGAACACCGGUGGCGAAGGCGGCCUUCUGGACAGUGACUGACGCUGAGACGCGAAAGCGUGGGGAGCAAACAGG